rnacentral:lncRNA from 1 species
GCUGGCAUUGUAAUGCAUUGGACAUGGAUGCCAUUGUGCAGCACCUAACUUUAUUGUCAUUGUUCGUCCACUUAACAAGUGUCUUACGCCGAUCAGUGAUCGGACGGAUUGGUAACACGAGGAUUCCAUGGUCUAGCACAUACCCGAAUUUCUCACAAUUCAAAACUAUUUUUGAAAUUUGCUGAGCCAAUCUUUAUAAUUGGGUUUGGUCAAACGGUUGUUCUAUAGGAUAUGAGUUAAGAGUUUAGAAGCUGACUUUAUAAUCCUCAGAGAGUAAAGAUUCUAGUUAGAGUUUUGUACUUGAUCCUAAUCUGUUCUAAGGUCUUUUAGAACAAAUGUAACUCCCACUAUUUUCUCGAAUUCCUCACACUCCCCUGGUAGGAAAACGGAAAUCCCACACGACUAGGGUUUCUAGUGGGUACUGCGGUCCCACCGAUUUACAUGCCACCUCACCUAACAGUUAUUGGUGACACAUAGAUUGAUGAAUAUACAACUCUUGUACAAUGCUUCUCAAGCAUGUUGCAGUAUAACUUGGUCUCUAAGCCAUGAAAACCUCACCUAACAGUUAUUGGUCCCAUUUCUUAGUUAAGUCAGACCCACCGUAUAACCGUAGGAAUAAAGUCGUCGUUGGGUCCUCACCUAACAGUUAUUGGUGCCCAACCCCACCUUUACCCUACAACAUCUCAUGUCUAUAGAGAGGUCCAGCUCCCCGAUGCAACUUGACCACUGUAUCCAGCCGAGACAAAUCAACAUCAGAAAGGCCUUAGCAGCUCUACUACAGUGGAAGACCUAUUGACUUAAUAUUGGUUAAUCAGGUUUUAGUGUUUGCAACUUGAGCUCUUCAUAAGAGGUAAUCGAACAAUUGGCCAGGUAAGUAGGUGGAAGGCUCCCCUUACUCAGAGAGUAAGGUCCUAAUUAAGUAACCACCUUUCAUGCUUUCCUAGACACCAAUUA